GACGAACGCUGGCGGCGUGCCUAAUACAUGCAAGUAGAACGCACAGUUUAUACCGUAGCUUGCUACACCAUAGACUGUGAGUUGCGAACGGGUGAGUAACGCGUAGGUAACCUGCCUGGUAGCGGGGGAUAACUAUUGGAAACGAUAGCUAAUACCGCAUAAUAUUGAUUAUUGCAUGAUAAUUGAUUGAAAGAUGCUAUUGCAUCACUACCAGAUGGACCUGCGUUGUAUUAGCUAGUAGGUGAGGUAACGGCUCACCUAGGCGACGAUACAUAGCCGACCUGAGAGGGUGAGCGGCCACACUGGGACUGAGACACGGCCCAGACUCCUACGGGAGGCAGCAGUAGGGAAUCUUCGGCAAUGGACGAAAGUCUGACCGAGCAACGCCGCGUGAGUGAAGAAGGGUUUCGGAUCGUAAAGCUCUGUUGUAAGAGAAGAACGGGUGUGAGAGUGGAAAGUUCACACUGUGACGGUAUCUUACCAGAAAGGGACGGCUAACUACGUG
rnacentral:rRNA from 1 species